GGGAAUGGAAAGUUACAGGAAAGAGCUUGGAGAUUUAUAUAAGGGAUGUUAGGACCUGCAAUAAAGUAUUUGGAUUGUUCACACAUCUGAGUCCCUGCCUUCAGACACUGGAGUACUAACUCAUACACUACAAUAAAUUAGCUUCUCAUUUGUACCUCUGUGUAUGGGAACCAUUAAAUCAUGGCUUGAAUCAGUAAUUGAGCACCUGCUGAAGUGGCAUAGCCAGCCCUGGAAGCACUGAUGGAAGCAAUUCACCUGUGGACCAGAACAGUUGGAACCAGGGUCCAGCUCUACUUACCUUCAUUUAAGGGCUGGUAGCCACAGAGGAAUCAUUUUUUCUUUUAGACUGCCUGCUUUGGAGUGUUUGGUGAGCCCUGAUCCUCAGGAAGGGAGAUGUAGCAUGACUAUGGGCCAGAAGAUCACUGACUGCCACAGUUAACUUCUUUUCUGUCAUGGACUGAUUAAUGAGGGCUACCUACCAUUCCCUUCAGUGGCUGUUUGUCAACAAGGGGCUGUGGAGGAAGAAAAGUGAGAUUACUCUCAGAAUUGGAAUCCAUGCUUUCAGAGGGUCAGAUUCCAAAUGAAUUGAAGGUGUGUCAGCUCUAGACAUAAAAUCUACUACAUGAUGUACUUGACAGCAAAUUUUGUAAGGACCUACACUACUAAGAAUGCUUAAGGGGAGAGCUGGCAAAAGCAAAACAUGAAAAUCCCAAGAGGCAGAUCUAUUCUCCUGCUGUAUUGGGCUUUCUGAAGGUGAACUUGUGGAUGCCUUUAUAGGCAAGAGCAUAUUUUAUGCUCCAAAACAAGCAAAUGUGAUUGUACAUGAGAAUGCACAAACUUUUUUUCUUGAUAUCUCAUAUCCCACGCUCUCUUCAACAUAUUUUUCAUGAAAGAAGGAUGAUUAGAUUUCUGACCAUAAAGUCAUAAUGAACAUUAGGUCACAAGACAAACCAGGAAGAAAAUCACCUUUCAAAGUAAUAAAAAUGAUGACUUGGCAGGUAAAAAAAUCUGCAAGCAUUUUCCCUAAGAUCAUACCAUGCAACAUUGCCUGUCAAACCUGAAUUAUAUAUAUAUAUAUAAUUGCUAUCAUUUUUUCUAGAAAAAAACAAACAAACAAACAAACAAACAAAAAAAAACCUCCUGGUUUGUGAUCCUGUCUCUGAUGAGCCCACAACACUGUAGAGAUUUUGAUAUAGUUAAAUGUCUUUUUGCUUAGUUUAUCAGAAACCACAAGAGGAAAAUUACACACCAUCCUCUAAUUUCAACACUGACAUGAAAUGCCAGUGCAUUCCUUCAGGGAUUUGCUAUCAGAAACAUGUCCAUAAAUACAUUAAAUCAGAUAUUGAAAGUUGAAUAUGACCUUGGAAUGUAAUUGGAAAAUGCUGUAUGGAUUCUGGAAGACAGAUAUUUCCAGAAGUAAAAGAUACACUUCUGUUGAAACCUUCAAAUCUUUUACUGAAGAAUUGUGCUAGAAAACUGACUCUUUAGAAUCACAUUGUUGAUUUUUUUUCCCUGUUAUUACUUUUUGUUUGUUUGUUUUGAAUGAAACUUUACUUAAUUAUUAAGACUAAUAAGUGGCUCAGGAAAAAGGAGAAAAGGAGAAAGAAAAUUCUCUUACAAUACGCUCAUUUGGAAAAAAAAAAAGAAAAGAAAAAAGAAAGGAAAAGAAAGGAAAAGAAAAGAAAGGAAAA
ensembl:lncRNA